CUCCACUUAUCCUAUAAAAGAUUGUUUGGUCAUUUUUUCUUGAAGAUAGAACUCAUAAACUGGAUAAAACAUUGGUCGAGAUGUUCAUCUUUCUUCAAUCUAUUUAUCCUAUCCUCUCCAAUAUGAUCUAGCUUAAGGUGCCAAUAUAUUUUAGGUUCAUCUCAUCUUUGGAUCUCUCAGAUCCUACAACACUCACUAUGAGCUCAAAAAAUAUUCACAGAUACAUCUAUAUGCAAAUGACAUAGUUUCAUGAGUAGGUCUAACACACCUUUUAAAGGCAUGUACUCCUUAUUCUGCAGGAACUCCAGCUAUAUGAGAUAGUUUCUUUUUCAAUGGCUGUCAACAUUGAAGUGAAAACACUUUUCCUUACUAGUGACCUUCUUCUUAGAAAUUUUCUUUUUGGCUUGCUCUCGAU
rnacentral:lncRNA from 1 species